UACGUAGGGGGCCAGCGUUGUUCGGAAUUACUGGGCGUAAAGGGUUCGUAGGCGGUGUGGCAAGUUGGGUGUGAAAUCUCUGGGCUCAACCCAGAGGCUGCUUCCAAAACUGCCAUGCUUGAGUGUGGGAGAGGCGCGUGGAAUUGCAGGUGUAGCGGUGAAAUGCGUAGAUAUCUGGAGGAACACCCGUGGCGAAGGCGGCGCGCUGGACCGCAACUGACGCUGAGGAACGAAAGCGAGGGGAGCAAACAGG
rnacentral:rRNA from 1 species